AGUAUUUUGUGUAAUUUAACGAAAUCUCAAGAGAUAUCAGUUAGAAAAAAUAUCUUGUCAAAUAAUUAGACAAUAGAUAAAGUGAGCCAGGAAAAAAAAAAUUGUGAAAAUAGAAAGAUAAAACAACAUCCUCGUCAUUUUUGGAGCCCAGCACUUGGUGUUGUCGUGCGUAACUAGUUACAACUCACAACGUACCUUGUCUCUCCUAUUCCUUUCCUUUAUCAACAUUUACGUGCUCCCCGUCCCGCCAUGCUGAAAUCAACCUUCACUCCAAUUUUCUGGGUACUCACACCCAAACCCAAACCUCCAAAACUCCCUUCCCAUGCAAUCACAAACACCUUCUUCACAAGCAGCAUGCCACAUGUUCGACAUAAUGCCCCUGUCAACCCCAUCACCCCACCACCCGCAUCUUCAGCCUACAUCCACCUCCCAUUCUGCCGCAAACGCUGCCACUACUGCGACUUCCCCAUCGUCGCCCUCGGCUCCACCUCCGCCCUAAUCGACGACGACCCACGAGUCUCAAACUACAUCCACUGGCUCUGCAGAGAAAUCAAUGCCACCAAUGUGGACCAACCUGAUGAUGCCAACACCAUCACACCCCUUCAAACUGUCUACUUUGGAGGUGGGACGCCCUCGCUGGUGCCUCCUAGGAUGGUUUCCUCAGUGUUGGACACACUGAGGACGAAGUUUGGGCUGCGCGAGGACGUGGAAAUAUCAAUGGAGAUGGACCCGGGCACGUUUGAUGCUGAGAAGAUGCGAGGGAUGGUGGUGCUGGGAGUGAAUAGAGUGUCCUUGGGAGUUUAGGCGUUUCGGGAGGAGCUGUUGAGAGCUUGUGGGAGGGCACAUGGGCUGAAAGAGGUUCAUGAGGCUAUUGAUGUUGUCAAGUUAUGUGAAGUUGAGAAUUGGAGUAUUGAUCUUAUAGCUUCAUUGCCUCAUCAGACUAGUGACAUGUGGGAGGAAAGUCUAAGGCUUGCCAUUGAAGCACAACCAACCCAUGUUUCGGUUUAUGACUUGCAAAUUGAGCAAGGCACGAAAUUUGGACGAUUGUACUCACUAGGGGAAUUCCCAAUGCCUUCUGAAACACAAUCAGCUGAGUUCUAUAAGAUGGCUUCAAGAAUGCUUUCUGAUGCGAAUUACAAUCAUUACGAAAUCAGCAGCUACUGCAAGAGUGGAUAUGAGUGCAAACACAACUUUAUCUAUUGGAAGAACAAGCCUUUCUAUGGCUUUGGCCUUUGCUCUGCUAGCUUUGUUGGUGGGUUGAGGUUUUCAAGACCAAGGAAAGUGAACGAUUAUAUUAAUUUUGUGCAGAAUCUGGAAAAUGGAUUCGUAAAUAGCUCUGUUGAAGGCCACAUUCAUGGCAAGGACACAGUCAUGGAUGUGGUGAUGCUGUCCCUAAGAACUGCACAAGGCAUAGACCUAAUGAGUCUCCAAGAAUCGUUUGGCAGCUCUAUUGUUUUGUCUUUGCUUGAGGCUUAUAAAACUUAUUUUGAGAGUGGACAUGUGGUUUGCUUGGACGAGUAUAGGAGAACCGUUAGAAUAGAUGACCUUAAUUCUUUUUUGAACAACACUAAUGCAGAAGGAAGGGUGGCUUAUAUAAGGCUAAGUGAUCCAGAAGGUUUCCUCUUAUCAAAUGAGUUGAUAGCCAUAGCUUUUGGGGUUAUCGACUCUUGGAAGGAUAUGCCUCCAUACCAAGAAGCAGAAGCUACUUGAAAGCAUGAAUGAAUCUGUUAAAGCAACACAUAAGUUAUAGAUGAUAUUAUCUAACAAUUAUUUUAUGUUUAUUUAUAUAGAGCAAAUAUUUGUUGAAAGGAGGGGAUGCAUUUUCAAACACUAAUGAUGGUCAUCUUUACAUUCUAUUGACACAGGUCACAUGAUCUUCAUAACAAA
rnacentral:lncRNA from 1 species